rnacentral:tRNA from 1 species
GCCAACGUGGCGUAGUGGUUUGAAUGUUGGACUAUGAAUCUAGAGACCAGGGUUCGAUUCCCCUCUUGGCC